CUCGAGUUCCACGAUACGUUGCAACGGUUCUGUGGAGCAACGCUUCAGAUUGUUUUGGUCAUAAUUUGGAGAUGAUCCGGAAGACGAGAGUUGUUGCGGGGAGCCGUCAUUUAAAUGCAUCUGAUCACUGUCAGUCGGUGAAUUUUUCGAUACAUACGGCAUAUAGAUGAAAAGAAAGAAUUUAUAAUUUUCUAUAAUAUAAUUGAUCACACAUACAAUAUGACUAUAUGCUUAUAUACAAUGAGACAAUUAUUCCACAUACCUGGUGAGGGACGUCGCACCUGUUUGAACGAACCGGCGACAAUUGGUCGUACGACGGAGACGACGUGUUGGCGAACCACAUCGCUCCGUUCAGGGUUUCCGCACCGCUGUCCAUCAUGAGUUCCAGCUCCAUUCAACAGCUCUUGUUCUCGAAGCGCAUGUAUCGUCCACCUUGCGGGCACCCCCUCGACCUAGAUCUUCGAUAUGCCCGGAAAUACACGAUGCAUCCGCCGAUCGCCGGUGAUUCUCAGGGCUUAGAUCACCCCCCCUUAGAACAUCACGAAG